rnacentral:lncRNA from 1 species
UCUCGACUUUCAUUGACAGUGAAUUACCUACAAAUCCAUCAUCUAAUUUGGAGUGAUCAGAAGAUAUAUUGGAAUAUGAGAACCCAACUCCAAUAGGAGAUUCCAGAAAAAGCAAAUUGGCUUCUGCAAGAUAAUUAAAUCCUUGAAUACCAGUCUAAUUACAAUCAGUUAAGACCUCUAAAUAUUAAGCUUCGUUUCUUGCUCUGCUUAUAAUCCUUUUUUUUCCUCUUUUACUUAUUUCUACUCAUUUUACUGUUCAGUGUUAACUAAAAGUCUAAAAAUAUUAGAAUAAAUUGCUCCUCGACAGAAACCACCGACGAUUAACAGUUGAUCAAAUACUUCAAUAGAAACACCAAUAUGGUCACAUACAGGUAGGGCAUUGAACCAGUAAAGUAUACAACAUAUAGACAGGUAAGGCAUCGAAAUUCAAGUAGAAAUCUGCCAAAAAUACCAAUUUGGAGAUAUAUAUUUGCACAUAAUUUGAGGGAAAAAAACUGAAAUUUACAAAGAAAAUCACAAAAUUUAAACGUAAAUCUUCUUCUUCCAUCUAAUAACAACAUGAAAUUUGAAGCUUUUGGAUUUUUGGGAGUGAAAUUGUCGGUUGCGAAGGACGGCUGCUGCGCUUCUCUUCUUAGGGCUCUAAAUUCUGAAUCUUAGAUUUCUG